CUAAACCUUAAAUCCAAGAACUGCUGUUUCAUAUAGCAGCAGUUUAAACAGAGGUGCUAACAAGAAGUGGAUCUCAAUGCCUUUGGGAGGCUGUGGCCAUGCCCCUCAAAGUGAAUUUGGAAGUUCUAUAACC